CAACGGUUUCUGCGGUGAGGGAGGCCGGGGCGGGGCUGAGGUCCGGGCUGGGGCUGUGAAGCCUUUGGGGUGGCAGGCAGCGGUGGCCCGGGACUCGAGCCUGGAGGCAGAAUCGGCCGCCAUGGCUGAGAGCAUCAUAAUCCGUGUCCAGUCCCCUGAUGGGGUGAAGCGGAUCAGAGCAACAAAGAGAGAAACAGCUGCAACAUUUUUGAAAAAGGCAUGGCGAUUUGUUGUUCCUGUUUCCCUUGAGACUUGCUGGGCCCUCAUCUGAAAUGGAGACAUCAGCUCCACUGGGGUUUAAGACCUUGGGCACUCCCAGCGUGGUGGAAGAUGAGAGCAAUCUGUACCUCAGCAAACAGGAUGGGAAGAUUUACAGAAGCCGAGACCCACAGCUAUGCCGCCAUGGCCCUUUGGGGAAGUGUGUUCACUGUGUCCCUCCAGAGCCAUUCGAGGAGGACUACCUAAACCGGCUUGAGCCUCCUGUGAAGCAUAUGUCCUUCCAUGCCUACAUCCGAAAACUGACUAGAGAGGCUGACAAGGGGAAAUUUGUUGCCCUGUAGAACAUCAGUUGCAAGAUUAAAUCAGGGUGUGAGGGACACCUCCCAUGGCCUAACGGUAUCUGCACUAAGUCCCAGCCAAGUGCCAUCAGGCUGAACAGACAGAAAUACAGACAUGUGGACAAUAUCAUGUUCGAAAAUCACACUGCUGCUGACCGCUUCCUUGACUUCUGGAAAAAGACAGGGAACCAGCAUUUUGGGUACUUAUUGGACGGUACGGAGCACAAUGACAUUCCCCUGCGCAUCAGAGCUGAGGUGGCUGCAAUUUAUGAACCUCCUCAGAUUGGGACACAGAACAGCUUGGAGCUUCUUGACGAUCCAAAAGCUGAGGUGGUUGAUGAAAUUGCUGCCAAGCUUGGCCUGAGGAAGGCUGAAUGGAUAUUUACAGACCUUGUCUCAGAAGAUACCUGAAAGGGUAUAUAGUUCGAUACAGUCGAAAUAAGGACACCUAUUUCCUGAGUUCAGAAGAGUACAUUACUGCAGGAGACUUCCAAAAUAAGCAUCCCAACAUAUGUCGACUCUCUCCAGAUGGACAUUUUGGAUCAAAAAGAGAAAAAGAAAGCUGGAUGGUGCUGCUGGGGGCUCCUCGCCUGUGGCCACUGCCGCCAUGUGGGCUUGUCAGCAUUGCACCUUCAUGA